rnacentral:rRNA from 1 species
UUUCCUACGGGAGGCAGCAGUGGGGAAUAUUGCACAAUGGGGGAAACCCUGGUGCAGCGACGCCGCGUGAGUGAAGAAGUAUUUCGGUAUGUAAAGCUCUAUCAGCAGGGAAGAUAAUGACGGUACCUGAGUAAGAAGCCCCGGCUAACUACGUGCCAGCAGCCGCGGUAAUACGUAGGGGGCAAGCGUUAUCCGGAUUUACUGGGUGUAAAGGGAGAGUAGACGGCAAGGC